GGAAGGGUGGCCGAGUGGUUUAAGGCAGCGGUCUUGAAAACCGCCGGGGGUGCAAGCCUCCCGUGGGUUCGAAUCCCACCCCUUCCG
rnacentral:tRNA from 1 species